rnacentral:rRNA from 1 species
ACGGGUGAGUAACACGUAUGCAAUCCACCUGUAACAGGGGGAUAGCCCGGAGAAAUCCGGACUAAUACCCCAUAAUAUGGGCGCUCCGCAUGGAGAGCCCAUUAAAGAGAGCAAUUUUGGUUACAGACGAGCAUGCGCUCCAUUAGCCAGUUGGCGGGGUAACGGCCCACCAAAGCGACGAUGGAUAGGGGUUCUGAGAGGAAGGUCCCCCACAUUGGAACUGAGACACGGUCCAA